GUAAUGAUGAAUAUUUUUGGUCCGUGUUGCUGAAAUGAUGUUGAUUAUUUUAAUAGCCAUAUGCUGAUUUAU